GGUAGUAGCAAAUAUUCAAACGAGAACUUUGAAGGCCGAAGUGGAGAAGGGUUCCAUGUGAAAAGCAGUUGAACAUGGGUCAGUCGGUCCUAAGAGAUGGGCGAGCGCCGUUCAGAAGGGACGGAUGAUAGCCUCCGUCGCCCUCAGCCGAUCGAAAGCGAGUUGGGUUCAGAUCCCCGAACCUGGAGUGGUGGCGACGGGUGCCGGCGGUUACUCAGUUUGCACAGUUACUCUCUUCUGGGCCCCUUAAAAUGCAGGAAGAUACAUUGUUGGUC
rnacentral:ncRNA from 1 species